ensembl:miRNA predicted gene, 24513
CCGAAGCCGCCGGGCCCCGGGCCACGCCCGCCCGGAACGGAUGAGCGGAGCUGAGCGGAGCGCGUGUCGCUCGACGCGGGCUCCGAGUCGCGACUGGGCUCGGGCUGGCACGGGCUGGCCAAGGCACCGCAGCCCCAC